AAUUGUGUUGAGUUUCUUAUAUAGCAUAUAGUAUAAACGGGUGCCACAGAUUAGGGCUACUUUCAAAACAACUCCUGAGAUCAAGAGACAAAAUGGCGGCAAUAUUGAGGGUUACGAACGGGAAUAGGGGCAUUGUGGGUAAUAACAAAUACGUAAUCCUUUUUCGAUUGGCAGGUAUGAAAACAUUAUCUAGACCCAAUUUGGUUGUGAUUUCAAGACAAAAGUUGAAAAUGACCACUUUGGCACAUAAAUCGUUGUUUUGAUGAAAUCUCACGAGUUCGCGUGCCCACCGACUCAUUAUUUCCGGUUUCGUCUGUCAACACAUGGUUUCGUCUGUCAACACAUGAUCAGGGUGAAUAAAGUUUACUGUGAGCACUGAAAUCAAUAUGUCUCACGUAAAACAGCAUACAAUCACAAGAGAUGGCUUACUAACAAUGAUAAAGCAAGUGCCCCAUCCUUGAUUGACCAACACAAAGAGGAGGUUCCAGAUCUGGUGUUCUGUCCAACCAUGUUGUUCAACAAUGAAUUUUACACCUCGGAAGGAUAUGGGCAGUGCAGCACCCCUGACAUUAUCAUGGACUGAUGACAGAUCCAACAUAUCAGCAUCAAGUUACCGCCCA